rnacentral:rRNA from 1 species
UACGUAGGGUGCAAGCGUUAAUCGGAAUUACUGGGCGUAAAGCGUGCGCAGGCGGUGAUGUAAGACAGGUGUGAAAUCCCCGGCUUAACCUGGGAACUGCAUUUGUGACUGCAUCGCUGGAGUGCGGCAGAGGGGGAUGGAAUUCCGCGUGUAGCAGUGAAAUGCGUAGAUAUGCGGAGGAACACCGAUGGCGAAGGCAAUCCCCUGGGCCUGCACUGACGCUCAUGCACGAAAGCGUGGGGAGCAAACAGGAUUGAGAAACCCU